UUCUUUAAGAACUAACUUAAAGUAAAACCUGCUCAAUGAUAAAUUUCCAUAAAUAGCCGCAGUAAAUCUGUGCUAAGGUAGCACAAUAACUUGCUUUCUAAUUAAAAGAUAGAAUGAAUGGUUAAACGACAGAUAACUGUAUCUAAAAAACAAACAAAAUUAAUAUUCACGUAAAAAAGCUUGAACAAAAAAAUAAGACGACAAGACCCUGCUAAACUCACACAUUCAGUUGGGGCAACAAAAAAACAAUAACUUAUUUCAUAAAAAUACAUAACAUUUUAUAAUACUAAGAAUAGUUACUACAGGGAUAACAGCGCUAUUUCUUUUAAGAGACCACAUCUAAAAAGAAGAUUACGACCUCGAUGUUGAAUUAAUUAAACAAAACGGUGCAAAAACCCAAUAGUUAGUCCGUUCGACUAUUUAAAAAUU
rnacentral:rRNA from 1 species